rnacentral:lncRNA from 1 species
AUGAAGUAAAUUCAAUACAAAUAAUGUGACUACUCACAAAUUUACACAAACACAAACAAAUAAAAAGAAUUAACAACUACGCAAUUAUUCAAACUACACAAUUAUUCAAAAUCAAUAAAAAGUCAUUUUCCAACUGUUAACAACAACGAAGAAGAAAUUGCAUAAACAUAAAUACCUCAAAAUCAAUACAAUUCAGUGCCUGCCUAAGAACGACCUUAACGCAAGAGAGCUACGACAAACAAGGAAGAACUAGACAAAGAGAAUUGCCCUCCUCUACUCUCCGGAAUCAGCCCUCCUCCGCCAGAAUUGGGCACCACCAAUGACGCACUUGGAUGAGCCUUGUCAUAGCUUCUUGCUACGGCCAAGCUCAGGCUUUACUUUGGAGCAGACUCAUCGCAAGGAAGAAGAGAGAGAGCUCUCGGUGCGAUGUCGUGGAGAGAGAUCCGAUCUUGUGCUUUUAAACAAAAAAAGUAAAAGUGUAUUUUUAUUCAUUACAAUUUAGACAGGCC